ACCCGGGGUGGGGAAACAGCCCCGCCUUCAAUCCCCUCCACAGGCAGCUGGGAGGGCGCGUCCCUCUCCCCAAGCCAGGGUGCAAAACCCCUGCCUCUGGGCGGGAAGGAAUGGGGGGGGGGGGCGGUGACAGACAAUCGCUCUUCAAGCUCCCCCCCCCGUUUCCACGGGCCCCUUGGCGGCAAUGACACAACGAUGUUUACCGGCCCCGAAGGUCACAAUGAAUCAACAAAUUCUGAGGAUUAAAUCAGAAAGAUACAUUCUAAAUGAUUAAGUCAAAAAGGAGGGAACAUGGAAUUCUGAAUAAGCAACAUUAAAUUGAUCUUUGUUUGAAAAUUAUACAUCAAGAAAAGAAUGAAGGGAGCCUAAUCAAACAGGACCAGUGAAAAUGAGAGAUACGUUAUUCAUAAAUGAAGGUGAUAUUCUCAGGAAUCCAAUUCUCCUCCUGGAAGGUGACCUGUUUAAACAGGAAGAGGAAGCUGAGCAGAGCGGGAAGAGAAUGGAAGCUGAACAGUCUGCAAAAGGGUGGUGAGCUCUCUCCAUCUCCAGAAGGCUAGCCUGACCAGGCACAGAGACUUUGUUUGGGGAGCUGUGAACCCAGGUCCUGAAGUAAUGAUCUGUGAACUGUUAUUUCCAAGUGCUCCUUCCCUGGAGCUCCAUUAAAGAAGAUAUACUUAUUUUGACUAGUUUGUUUUGGCUUCUUAUCACUCUGAUCUGUGCAAGAUAAUUUAUUGAUGCCAAGUUGGGGGAAAGAAAGGUGAGGAUCACCUGCAGUGCCACUCUUGGGCACAGGGGAAUGCAUAGAAUGGCCCUGCCUGUUACAAGUAUCUUCAGCCAGGGUGGGCAGACAGCAUCUGUUCCUCAUACUAUUGUGUCCUUUGAGAAAUAUUUGCU